GACGAACGCUGGCGGCGUGCUUAACACAUGCAAGUCGAGCGGAAAGGCCACUUCGGUGGUACUCGAGCGGCGAACGGGUGAGUAACACGUGAGUAAUCUUCCCCUGGCUUUGGGAUAGCCACCGGAAACGGUGAGUAAUACCGGAUACGACCACUUCUCGCAUGGGAUGGUGGUGGAAAGUUAUUUCGGCCAGCGAUGUGCUCGCGGCCUAUCAGCUUGAUGGUGAGGUAAUGGCUCACCAUGGCUUCGACGGGUAGCCGGCCUGAGAGGGUGACCGGUCACACUGGGACUGAGACACGGCCCAGACUCCUACGGGAGGCAGCAGUUGGGAAUAUUGGACAAUGGGCGGAAGCCUGAUCCAGCAACGCCGCGUGAGGGAUGACGGCCUUCGGGUUGUAAACCUCUUUCAGCAGGGACGAAGCGCAAGUGACGGUACCUGCAGAAGAAGCACCGGCCAACUACGUGCCAGCCGCCGCCGUAA
rnacentral:rRNA from 1 species